rnacentral:rRNA from 1 species
UCCCGCCUGCCCUGUGACAAUGUUUAACGGCCGCGGUAUUUUGACCGUGCGAAGGUAGCGUAAUCACUUGUCUUUUAAAUGAAGACCUGUAUGAAAGGCAUCACGAGAGUUUAACUGUCUCUAUUUUCUAAUCAAUGAAAUUGAUCUUCUCGUGCAGAAGCGAGAAUAUUACCAUUAGACGAGAAGACCCUAUGGAGCUUCAAACACUUAAAUUAAUUAUGUAAAAUUAUAAUCCUUAGGGAAAAAUCAUUCAUAUAAUAUUCCUAAUUUAACUGUUUUUGGUUGGGGUGACCGAGGGGGAAAGAAAAUCCCCCUUAUCGACUGAGUACUAAGUACUUAAAAAUUAGAACGACAGUUCUGAUUAAUAAAACAUUUACCGAAAAAUGACCCAGAUUUUUUCUGAUCAAUGAACCAAGUUACCCUAGGGAUAACAGCGCAAUCCUUUCCCAGAGUCCCUAUCGCCGAAAGGGUUUACGACCUCGAUGUUGGAUCAGGACAUCCUAAU